rnacentral:lncRNA from 1 species
CUGUACCGCGUCGCCGCGCCCCCACCGAAGAUCUGCGCCAGCACCGCGUCGCCGCGCCGCUUGUCGCGCCUGCAUCUGCACCGCGCCGUGUCGCCGCCUGCAUCAAAUUGGGUUUGAUUUUUGUUUUCCAAUUUCGAUUUUAUGUUAAUGUUUGUAUCCAAAAAUUGUGUGAACUUUGCCGUUCCAUUUUUCUACUGUUGCUUUUGCUGAAGGAAGCUGCAGAUUUUAGUUUAAUGGUGAUCCAUGGAAGUUUUGUGA